GCANCNGGCGCGAAAACUUUACAAUGCGGGAAACCGUGAUAAGGGAACUCCGAGUGCCCGUUAAAUCGGGCUGUCCAUCUGUGUAAAUAACAGGUGAAGAAAGGGCCGGGCAAGACCGGUGCCAGCCGCCGCGGUAAUACCGGCGGCUCGAGUGGUGGCCACUAUUACUGGGCUUAAAGCGUUCGUAGCUGGUUUGUUAAGUCUYUGGGGAAAUCUUCCGGCUUAACCGGAAGGCGUCUCAGGGAUACUGGCAGACUAGGGACCGGAAGAGGUGAGGGGUACUCCAGGGGUAGGAGUGAAAUCCUGUAAUCC
rnacentral:rRNA from 1 species